CCGCCGUGCGUCAUUGUCCGGGCGUAGCCCCGCCUCCGCCGCGCUGCCCGUUAUCCGGGCCGCGGCAAGGGAGCAGGCCCCGCAGUGCCGCCGCGCUCCCUGGGUGGCGCCCAGGAGGGACAGCGCGAUCGCGGGCUGAGUGCGGGGCGGGCCGCCGGAUGGGGUGCGGGGGCGGCGCGCCCCGUCACACUUGGUCAUCUGGGCAGUCAGACGUAUCAAGAUGAUCUCGCAAGCGCCACUCAUCUGGCUGUUGGUGCUCUGGGUCCAGGAUGCCAAAGGACAGCUUGUGCUGACGCAGACUCCAGAAUCCCUAGCAGUGUCUCCUGGAGACACAGUCACUAUAUGCUGCAAAGCCAGUUCCAGUGUUGCCAGCUUGAUGGCCCGGUACCAACAGAAAUCAGGACAAGCUCCUAAACUCCUCAUUCACAGCCCUUCCAGCCGUCCCUCUGGGAUCCCAGACCGGUUCACAAGCAGUGGGUCAGCCGAGUAGAAACUGAUGAUGCUGGAGAUUAUUUCUGUCAAAUUGGGAGCUCACAGUGAUACAGACCAAUACAGAAACCUCCCUGCUGCCUUCAGUUUCUGUUCCUCAUUGUAACAACUAUUUUCCUGCAGCCAGACAGUGUUACACCAGCUGAGGCU